UAUAUACGGUAUGUACGGUAUACAUACGUAUAUACGGUCUGUACGGUAUGUAUACUUAUAUACAGUUGUACAGUAUGCAUACGUAUAUACGGUCUGUACGGUAUGCAUACGUAUAUACGGUCUGUACGGUAUGCAUACGUAUAUACGGUCUGUACGGUAUGCAUACGUAUAUACGGUAUGUACAAUUUCAUACCGUAGCCGAGCUGGAAGUUGGUAGGCCCAAAUAGUAAGCCCAAUUGUUCGGCCCGAUUGGUAGGCCCAAUUGUUCGGCCCAAAUGGUAGGCCCAAAUGUUAAACCCAAAUUGGUUCGAGCCGGUUCUAAAUGUGGAUGGUUCGGUUUCUUCGGCCCAAUUGGCCAGCCCUAAUGCUUAGCCCAAGGAUUGAGCAAGCCCAAGUCAUCAUCACUGGGUGACAUGUUUUAUUGGCGUGCUUUUGAGAAUGAUUUGUUUUGAGUGAUGCUAAUUGAGAAGCGAAACGCUUUGUGGGAGUGUUUACUGUGCUUGUAUGCCAGUACAGGAUGACGAUCUGUGUGAAAACAGCUAUAUGUGCAAUGCCACGUGGUGAUUUGAGUGUGGGUUGCUUGAGGCAAUUGUUGUGUUGUAAUUUUGAGAAAUGAUGCGGUGAAGGAAUGUCAUGUUGAUGACUUAAGUGGGGAUGAGGAUUUCAUUUGUGAAUUCUCGUUGUGUGAGUUUACGUUUGUGAUGAAAGGAUUUAGUGGCCAUAGGAAUGUAUUUUUAUACAAAGGGCUGUGGUUUUGUAGAUUACUACAGUUUUGGGAAAGAUGGAGAUUCGAUGGUUAGGUUAACUGUAAUCGAGAGCAAUUAACUUGCGCUUAAAUUUCGGGACGAAAUUUCUUUAAGGAGGGUAGAUUGUAAUAACCUAGUUUUUUUUAAUCAAACAAUUUGGUGGCAAACACCGGUUCCGUGAUUUAAGGUUAGUGGACAAUUGCAUAAUUUGAAGGCCGGUGCUUUAACAUGAUUAUGCAUGAGUGGAAGAACGAAUCAAUUAAGCUAAGAAACGAAUUCUCUCUCUCUCACGUCCGAAACCACCCAAAACAGAGCAAAACUUCUCCAAACUCUCUCUCACUCCACCGGCCACCAAUCAAGACCAGAACACUUCCUAUAGCUUCGCCUCGACCUUGCGCAGCUGCAGGUGGCAGCCUUGAACCACGACACGGCCACCAGCGGCGGCGGGAAGCUCCGCCCGGUUUGAGCUCGUUUUGGUUCCAAGCUUGAUAUCUCAAGCUACCGGCCAACAAUCCUCACCAAACUUCACCCACGAGCUCGCCUCAACGUCCUGAAGCUCCCAGAAGUGGCCUUGCACGGCGGCGCUACUCGUGGUGGCGGCUGGAAGCCAGACCCGAUCAAAUCGAAAACCGAAGCUUCGAUCGGUAUAUCUCGAGCUGUAGUGCAUCGUUUUGAUUGAUUCUUUUUCCAGUGGGUUCCCCUUGAUGUUGUUAACAACUCUCUAGAAGGCAUCGAGGCCUGAAAUUGAAGUUUUUACGUCGAUCGGAGCCCUCGCCGGAUUCUGCAAAAUUCUGCAAAUUUUCCGACCACCGAAGCUUUCGAUCGGUAUAUCUCGAGCUACAGACCAUAUUUUUCUGUGAUUCUUGAACCAAUGCGUUCGUCUUGAGUUUCUUAACAACUCUCUAGAAGGAAUCGAAGCCUGAAAUUGAAGUUUUGACGUCGAAAUCAAGCCUUGCCGGAUUCUGCAAAUUUCGCCGGAUUCUGGAAAUUUUCCGGCCACCUCGACUGUUCUAGGUUAUCGACGGAUUGAUUUGGUGGACGAUUCGGAUUGAUGUAUUUGGCUUUUUAGAAGACGCAGCUGGAUUAGAGCGGGAAAUCCUACAGGUCAGGAAGAUCAAGGCGGAGAUCGUGCGGGUUAGAGUUUUUGUUUCAGUUUACAGCUUUGUAAAUUGUGAGAUGUAUUAUUAAGAGGUGUGAAGUGUGGUUGUUGUGAGAAAAAAAUUCAGGACGUUUAU